rnacentral:rRNA from 1 species
AACGAACGCUGGCGGCAUGCCUGACACAUGCAAGUCGAACGAGAUCUUCGGGUCUAGUGGCGCACGGGUGCGUAACGCGUGGGAAUCUGCCCUUUGGUUCGGAAUAACAGUUGGAAACGACUGCUAAUACCGGAUGAUGACGAAAGUCCAAAGAUUUAUCGCCAGAGGAUGAGCCCGCGUAGGAUUAGCUAGUUGGUGUGGUAAAGGCGCACCAAGGCGACGAUCCUUAGCUGGUCUGAGAGGAUGAUCAGCCACACUGGGACUGAGACACGGCCCAGACUCCUACGGGAGGCAGCAGUGGGGAAUAUUGGACAAUGGGCGAAAGCCUGACCCAGCAAUGCCGCGUGAGUGAUGAAGGCCUUAGGGUUGUACAGCUCUUUUACCCGGGAUGAUAAUGACAGUACCGGGAGAAUAAGCUCCGGCUAACUCCGUGCCAGCCGCCGCCGUAA